GAUGAAGAACGCAGCGAAAUGCGCUACGUAAUGUGAAUUGCAAAUUCAGUGAAUCAUCGAGUCUUUGAACGCACAUUGCGCCCCCUGGUAUUCCGGGGGGCAUGCCUGUCCGAGCGUCAUUGCUGCCCUCAAGCACGGCUUGUGUGUUGGGCCCCGUCCUCCGAUCCCGGGGGACGGGCCCGAAAGGCAGCGGCGGCACCGCGUCCGGUCCUCGAGCGUAUGGGGCUUUGUCACCCGCUCUGUAGGCCCGGCCGGCGCUUGCCGAUCAACCCAAAUUUUUAUCCAGGUUGACCUCGGAUCAGGUAGGGAUACCCGCUGAACUUAAGCAUAUCAAUAAGCGGAGGA
rnacentral:misc_RNA from 1 species